rnacentral:rRNA from 1 species
GCAAACUCCGAAUACCAAUGAGUACUAUCCGGGAGACAGACUGCGGGUGCUAACGUCCGUAGUCAAGAGGAAAACAAUCCAGACCGCCAGCUAAGGCCCCAAAAUUAUAGUUAAGUGGGAAACGAUGUGGGAAGGCAUAGACAGCUAGGAGGUUGGCUUAGAAGCAGCCACCCUUUAAAGAAAGCGUAAUAGCUCACUAGUCGAGUCGGCCUGCGCGGAAGAUGUAACGGGGCUAAAACUAUAUGCCGAAGCUGCGGAUUUGCAAUUUAUUGCAAGUGGUAGGGGAGCGUUCUGUAAGCCGAUGAAGGUGUAUUGAGAAGUAUGCUGGAGGUAUCAGAAGUGCGAAUGCUGACGUGAGUAACGACAAUGCGAGUGAAAAACUCGCACGCUGAAAGACCAAGGGUUCCAGUCCAACGUUAAUCGGGGCUGGGUGAGUCGACCCCUAAGGCGAGGCCGAGAGGCGUAGUCGAUGGGAAAUUGGUUAAUAUUCCAAUACUUCUAUGUAAUGCGAUGAGAGGACGGAGAAGGUUAAGUCAGCCUGGCGUUGGUUGUCCAGGUGGAAGGUUGUAGGCAUGUAUCUUAGGCAAAUCCGGGGUACUCUAUGCUGAGAACUGAUAGCAAGCUGUACUUGUACAGUGAAGUGGCUGAUACCAUGCUUCCAGGAAAAGUCUCUAAGCUUCAGUUACAUAGGAAUCGUACCCGAAACCGACACAGGUGGUCAGGUCGAGUAGACCAAAGCGCUUGAGAGAACUCUGCUGAAGGAACUAGGCAAAAUGGUACCGUAACUUCGGGAGAAGGUACGCUGCCGACGGUGAUAGGAUUUACUCCUUGAGCUAUUGGCAGCCACAGAAACCAGGCCCCUGCAACUGUUUAUUAAAAACAUAGCACUCUGCAAACACGAAAGUGGACGUAUAGGGUGUGAUGCCUGCCCGGUGCUGGAAGGUUAAUUGAUGGGGUUAGCGUAAGCGAAGCUCUUGAUCGAAGCCCCAGUAAACGGCGGCCGUAACUAUAACGGUCCUAAGGUAGCGAAAUUCCUUGUCGGGUAAGUUCCGACCUGCAC